rnacentral:pre_miRNA from 1 species
GUUGUGCUACCUCCAUUCCAAAAUUCUUGUCUUAGAUUUAUAGAUAUCAAUGUAUCUAGUCACGUUUUAGUAUUUAGAUACAUUCAUUUCUAGAUAAGCGUAAGACAAGAAUUUUGGAACGGAGGGAGUAUCUA